GAUCCUAGCGUUGUUCGGAAUUAUUGGGCGUAAAGCGGAUGUAGGUGGCUUUGUAAGUCAGAUGUGAAAGCCCAGGGCUCAACCCCGGAAGUGCAUUUGAUACUGCGAAGCUUGAGUGUCGGAGAGGUUACUAGAAUUGUUGGUGUAGUGGUGAAAUACGUAGAUAUCAACAGGAAUACCGGAGGCGAAGGCGGGUAACUGGCCGAACACUGACACUGAGAUCCGAAAGCGUGGGGAUCAAACAGGAUUAGAUACCCUGGUAGUCCACGCCGUAAACGAUGGAUACUUGUUGUUGGAGGUAUUGACCCCUUCAGUGACGAAGCUAACGCGUUAAGUAUCCCGCCUGGGGAGUACGGUCGCAAGAUUAAAGCUCAAAGAAAUUGACGGGGGCCCGCACAAGCGGUGGAGCAUGUGGUUUAAUUCGAUGCAACGCGAAGAACCUUACCUAGGCUUGACAUGUACUGGA
rnacentral:rRNA from 1 species